rnacentral:lncRNA from 1 species
AUAAUCCCUGGUCAUAAUCAUACCAAGUCCAUCUAUGCACUACAUGCCACAGAUGACUUUCAACAAAAUAUAAACAUGAGGAUGAUGACAAUGAUAUAAGAAUUCAAUAAAACAAGUUCAAUAAUUAAUUUAUCCAAGAACUAAUAAUGUCCAAAUUGUCAACAUGAUACUGCUUUGUAGAGUAAAAUUCAAGAAUACUCAGAAGAAUAUUUCCAUGAAAAGAUACUGGAUGAAGCGCAAAUAUCAAGGAUAUUCCACUAAUUUCAUGGAGUAUAGAA